UACGUAGGGUGCGAGCGUUGUCCGGAAUUACUGGGCGUAAAGAGCUCGUAGGUGGUUUUCCGCGUUGUUCGUGAAAACUCACAGCUUAACUGUGGGCGUGCGGGCGAUACGGGCAGACUGGAGUACUGCAGGGGAGACUGGAAUUCCUGGUGUAGCGGUGGAAUGCGCAGAUAUCAGGAGGAACACCGGUGGCGAAGGCGGGUCUCUGGGCAGUAACUGACGCUGAGGAGCGAAAGCGUGGGGAGCGAACAGG
rnacentral:rRNA from 1 species